rnacentral:rRNA from 1 species
AAUCGACGCUGGCGGCGUGCCUCAGACAUGCAAGUCGAACGAUUAAGACUUCCUUCGGGAAGUGUAUAAAGUGGCGCACGGGUGAGUAACACGUAAGUAAUCUACCUUCGAGGGGGGAAUAACAUCGGGAAACCGAUGCUAAUACCGCAUAAUGCAGAGGCAUCGCAAGAUGACAGUUGUUAAAGGAGCAAUUCGCUUGAAGAGGAGCUUGCGGCAGAUUAGCUAGUUGGUAAGGUAAUGGCUUACCAAGGCGACGAUCUGUAUCCGGUCUAAGAGGACGGUCGGACACACUGACACUGAAUAACGGGUCAGACUCCUACGGGAGGCAGCAGUCGGGAAUUUUGGGCAAUGGGCGAAAGCCUGACCCAGCAACGCCGCGUGAGGGAUGAAGUAUUUCGGUAUGUAAACCUCGAAAGAAUGGGAAGAAUAAAUGACGGUACCAUUUAUAAGCUCCGGCUAACUACGUGCCAGCAGCCGCCGUAACAC